UACAGAGGGUGCGAGCGUUAAUCGGAAUUACUGGGCGUAAAGCGUGCGUAGACGGUAGCGUAAGUCAGAUGUGAAAGCCCCGGGCUCAACCUGGGAACUGCAUUUGAGACUGCUCUGCUCGGGUGCGGAAGAGGGAAGCGGAAUUUCCGGUGUAGCGGUGAAAUGCGUAGAUAUCGGAAAGAACACCAACGGCGAAAGCACUCUGCUGGGCCGACACUGACACUGAGAGACGAAAGCUAGGGGAGCGAAUGGG
rnacentral:rRNA from 1 species